CGUGUGUCAGCCACCUCGUGUCGCCGCGAAAACACGACAGUCCUUCGCCCUCCAUUGGAUAUAAGAACAAAUCCUCAACGGUGGAAUAUCACGCUUCAAGCAGAUUUGUUUAUGUAUCAAUCCAAGGCCGCAAUGCAAGUUCGUGAGUGGCAUAGAAAGAAUCCGGCACUUGCUGCAUCCAGCACGGCAGGAGAGCCACUCCAGAAAGCCACAGCACGACGUAACUGCGAAGUCCAUAUGUGGGACACCCCAUGGGCAAAGGCGCAAAAAAACGGCGGCUCAUCUGCUGUUGCAUGUGUCCAAAAGUUUUACGAGAUUUGCGGACAUACAUCAACACAGAUUGUGAUCUUCUCUGAGGAGUGUCAAAAUGCUGGGAUAAAAGAGCAGGCACAAGGACGGCUUCUGGAAUCUGAAACAUGACGUGACACGCAGAGGUUUUUAUGUACUGCUCAUGUGUGUUUGAGCAGCUAACAGAAAUAAAGCUUACUCUAACGAAUUAUUUGGUGAUGUUAUCUCACAUUUCUUGCUCUCAACACUG